UGUAAUACAUGAGCCUGAAAUUCCUCCUAAAAUAAAGUUUCUGAACUUUUAUUACAAAUAAAAGUUCAGAGACUUUAUUUUAGGAGGAAUUAGAUGCUAGCAGGUAUUUUCUAAGGGUUGAGAUGACACUGGCCUGAAGAAUGACAGCAGGACAAGUCAGCUCUGGAGUGUUGCAUCAGUGAUUCUGCACACCACAGCCUAAGCCAGAGCUGCUGAAAUGUGUUCUCAUGACUGGGAGUCCAGCUGCUCUCUAGGAUGCAGAUCUUGGAAGGAAAAGCUCCCAGCUCUUUCCAGUACAGAGCAUCUUGGGAUCAACAGCUGAAAAAAUGAAGCAGGAAAUUCAUUGCUUGCACCUGAAAUGCAUUACUUUUCCUUAAUAAGAUAAAAUACAUGCCUGAAGGACAGCAUCCUUUGGUAGUGACCCACACUUUAACCGUUUGUGGAAAACUGUUGCCUGUAGAAUGGACUCACAUUGGAGACGUUCAUGGAGAACUGACUCCCAUGGGAGGGACCCCACAGUGCAACAUUGUAAGGACUCCUCUUCCUGAGCAGUGGCAGAAACAAUGUGUGAUGAACUGACCAUUACCCUCUGUGCCCUGCCUCCCUGCAUCUCUGCUAGGGAGGAGGUAGAGGGGGAGAAGAAGGAAGAGCUGAGAAAUGGAGUAAUAAAGCAGCUUUGGUGGGUGUCUGGCAUCCAGCCAGGGUCAACCCACUCAAAUGUCAAUGACACUUUGGAAACUCAAAGUCACAGGCACCAUAUACUACCAAACCUGUGUGUGUGACUUAUGGAAAUGGAUUUGAUUGGUGUGCAAGCUAACAAAAUAAGACACUUGAUUACCGAUGAUCAUGAGUGAAGAUAUGGAAGAAUUAAGAUAUAGAAAAGUGAAGAUGUCAAGUAAUGCAUAAUUAAAGUGACUGAUUCAUGAUCAAAGCACAGUUUUUACUCCCUGCACUUAGGAAUCCUUCCCCAAGUAUUAUUGAUUCUUGGUUCAGGCUUUGACUUUGUACAGCUCUGCUUCUCUAAUAUCUAGAAAGGCAACUACUGCCAUUGCAUACCAAGGAAACGUCUUGCAUCGUGGGUCAAAGGGUGUCAAUCAACAGGAUCACCUUUGUUGCUAUUACAGAGCCCACAGAAAAUUUUACCGUCUCCAAUAACUCUAUGGAAAGAGCACUUCAACCUGCACAGAAUAGUGAUAUAAAACUAAAUAAUUAUCCUGCUAAGAUGAAAACAAAUGAGGAAGAAGAGUGAAAGCAUACAUAUACACAGGCAUAAAUCAAACUUUGUCUUUUAGCAUAUUGAUGCAUAUAUUUUUGUGAGGGCUGCAGUCACAAAUACUCUGUUGUAAUUAAUAUUGUGCUCCAGUGAAUUAGGAAUAAUUUCUGCAGUAAGUUCAGGGGGCCUGUGUAUGACCCUUCUGCAAAGGUGAGUUGAACUCACAGGACUACUGAUCACACUCCUGGGAAACUGGGGGACUGCUGGAGGACCAUUGUGCUGUUCAAGUUCUAAGAGCCCACCUCUUGAGAACCUAAAGAAAUUGAUAUUCCAGAGGAAAUUGGCAACUGCAAGCAUGAAGCUGUCUAAAGAAAAAACUACAUCAGCUGAGAGUGUGAUGCAAGACUGAAACCAUUCCUUUCACUAUCAUAUGGCAAGGACCAGGGAUGCUCCAUUGAAGCAUCCAGUUUUCUACAUAGAUUAUAUGAAAAGAAAAAUUCUGCUUAAAUGUAAAACUUCAGAAUUAAAAUUCUUUGGUUUGCACAAGGCUAUGUUUCCUCUGCUCUUUUCUACAUUAAAAACAAGACAAACACCAAGAUGGAAGCCAAGCCAAAUCCAGGACAUUGUUAAAUGUAUCUAUUUUCAAUUUCCAUGAAAGAAGGGGAGCCCCUCCCCUCUCAGGUCACUUCUUUUUUGUCUUAAACCUUCAUUUAGGAAAAAUUUGUAAUAACUAUUGUAUAUUUAAAAUCAAGUUAAUUUCAGAGGUCAAGAGGGAAGCAGUCUUUGUGCACUGGCUGAAAAAUUCUCUCCCUCCCGGCCUGUUAUUCUGAUGUUCUCUGUACUGAAGCUGUGCUUUCAUGCUCCUGUGGUCUAGACCUUAAAAACAUCUUUUUUUAAAGCCCUGAAGUAUUAUGUCUGUAUUAACCUUAUCAGUGAACUAUUUCAAUAACAACAUUCUGAGUAUCUCUCCUAAUAAAUAGUACAGGGAGAAGCAGCUCUGCUAAAAAUCCACCAUUGGGCUCUAAGCAAUUAGUGAGAAGCAAUCAAAGUACAAGAGGAUGAGCUUAGUCAUCAUUGCCCCAUUUGUCAGUGGUUGCCCUGCAGUCUUUAUAUACCAUAACUGAACUUGUAGACCCUAGGAACUACUGGGAUUAACUUUUGGUCCUAAAGAUGGGGGUUAACCAUCCCCUUCCCCUUCAUCAGAGAUGUCCAGGAAAGGCAUCUGCAGUGAGGGCUGGCAAAGAGAAGAUGUAUGCCCAGGGCUUCCAACAGCUACAUCAGCUCAGAUGGAGGGCUAGCAGGCUCCAGUUUGAAUUACUGGCUCCCAUUCAUACCUUAAAACUGCCUUUUCUAAGCAAAGCACUUAGAUUUAGUGCAUGACAGCUCAACCUAACACUCUAGGAGAGGUAACUUGUCACACAUAGACUAUAUCACUACCACAAAAUUUGGCUGCUUUUUUGUCUUAGUAUGAAAUUCAGGUUGCCAGAGUCCUUCCUCCCAAAAAUGGUAAUGUGUAAUGAGUCAACCAGCCUGCAAAUCUUACCACAGAUUAUACAGUUUUCUCAAGUGCUCUUCAUUUCUCUGCAUCCCAUCUGUCCAGUUUGCUGAAAUUAGAACAAAAUAAGGACAAAUAACCUUCUAGAUAUUUAUAUUUUUUAAUUUUUUUUUUUUUGUUUGUUUUUAGGUAAAUAAUAUUAGGAAGAUAUACAGGGGACUGUACAGACAGUUGUGUGAAAAAUUUGUGAUUAAUUUAUGGUGUUUUUUUAAAUUUUUAUUUUUAAAUUUUUUUGUUUCCCAGCUGCACAUCUAUUUCACUUUGAGUGCCUGUGCUUUCAGACUUCCAAUAAAUUCAAGAGUUUUCUUCAUGCAUAUAAAUAUACCUCAGAAUGGCAGAGCCAUUAAUUUAUAUAAUGGGCCUGAGAAACAAACAUUUCAAACCUACUGUACUUAGGUGGGCUUUGUAUGGUACUGAAGAAAUCAAUUUCAAUUCUGAGACAAUGCGUCUGAGUUUUACAAGGGGGCACAUGAAUGAAGACUUGAGAAUACAGCUAAAGGAAAAAUCUUCUGUUCAAGUCUUUUGCAGAUACUCAGAUCUUCAGGGACUUAGCCACACUUGUGCUAAUAUUCCUUAGAUUUUUGUACUCUAAAUCAACCAGUAAAGAAUGUGAUCAUCUUUGUGAUUUUACUUAUAAGUAAAACCAAUCACAGUUUUGACCCAAGAAGCUUUCUUCUCAGGAAGCAGCACUGAAGAACAGUACGCUUCUCUGAGAAUGUGUAAGUACCUUCAAAUAAUCCAAAAGCAAGAAGAAAUCAGAAUAACUUUAGAAUAGCUCUACAUAUGUGUAGAAGUGGUUGCAAAAACGUUUCUCAGCAAAGCAGAACAGUAUGCCAGCAAUUCUUGUUCAGAAAGAAAAAAGCUUUCAGUAAGACUUGAAAAGCCACAAGAAAGAUAGAAACCAAGCCAGAAAGGACAGAAGACUGACAGAAAAAACAUAACAGAACUCUAGUAGCCUGAGAACAGAAUGUGUGAAUGAGGCUGUGAGGUGAAAGACACAGCUGAGGCUCAGUGACUCUCAGUGCCAUAAUGUGUUUUAAAGAAAGCUGCAAGAAGACAUGUGCUAAGCAAUUAUAAAAUCUGCCCUGAGGAAAAAGUUCCUUUCUUCAAGCCAUCAGUUAGAGCACUGCCCAUCCCCUGGCUCCUCAAAGAAGAAGUCCUUCCUUUAUUCAAGAUAUAAAUAGCUAUCACAGGAGACACUCAGAGGAAGAAGAGCUAAGAAAAAGUUAAAGUAUUGAGUUACUCUACAUCCUUCCCUCCAGUUCCCACUUUAUCCAGUAUUUCAGAACCAGAGAUACUUCCAAUUCUCUUUGCCAUUCUGUUUUUCUUUCCUAUGCCAAAAUCAGGACUGCAGACUGGCUGGUAAGAUCUUGUAGUUUAGGCUGUUGUGGUAGGUGAAGUACUUGCAUGUAAACUGAUCCUUAUUCUAUUUUUACUUACCCUGGUAACAAAUAGCACUGAAAUGUGUGUAAUAUGGGUUCUUUUGUGCCUGUUUUUUAGUUUUCUAUUUUUCACUCUAGUGACUUGAUCAAAUAUUUUCUGCUGAUUACAUGACAGCUGGGAGAAUUUGCCAUUUUCUUUGUUUGUAUAAAAUUACAAAGAACUACAACAAGUAGCUAACAUUUUAUUCCUUUAAUUGUAGCACUCAUUUAACUCUAGUUAUAUUAACAGUUUCAAUUAUAAUAGAUGUAAAUGUGAUCUGAGCCUUGUAAUGGGUAGACUAUUUGUUUUACCUCACAUUUUAUACAGCAUUGGGUUUCGCUCUGGAUAUGCCAGAAAAGGUUUAACUAUGGAAGCAGUGAAAGUGAACAAGACAGACUAUAUUCUAAGUCUGAUAGAUAUCCAGUCAUGAGCUAUUGGCUUCUGACUUCAACUUGCAUUGAAGCAAAUUCAUUUCUAACCUUGAGACCUCUUUGGCACCUGCAUCUAAUCAUACCUCCAAGACCCUCUUACAGUCAACUCUGUUCUCAUAAACAUAGGGGGAAUACCUUAGUGCAAUACAGAACUACACAGGGGGAGGUCAGGACUUUUUCUUCUUUUAUCAUCCUGCAAUAUGCAUUUCUCUUACUGUUUGUCUGCAAUUGACAUAUGUAGGUUUUCACACAUAUCUGAAUUUCUUGAUGCAAUAGAAUAAAUGUUUUUCCCCAGGUAGGUUGUCUACAUUUUUAUUUUGAAUAAAACUGAUGAGUAAAAUUUCAGUCAAGCUUGCCCUAAAAUGUCAGAGAAAGUUAGAUAAAUUGGGGAGCUUUGAAACACAUUUGUUCUGCCCAUAUAUUGCAGCCUUCCAGCUCAGGUGUAGGAACUGACCUCUUGCUGACUGGCUGUAACUCAUCUGGCCAAUGUAAUAAUGCUGUGGUUUAGGGUUGAAGAGGUGUGGAAUAUUGUAAGCAACUAGGUGUACUUGCAAUGAAAUUUCUUAAAAGCUUUUAAAAGGAAUGCAGACUUUUUUUCUUGGACAUUGUGUGCACACAAGACAGAAUGGAUCACGAGAAUAUUUUUGAGGUAAUACAUGGACUUACAGAACUACAAAAGUAAAUGUGAUCUCUAAAUGCCAUUCAUCAGAGUGGAUGAAUGGCAUUUAGACAGACAAUGUGCAGGGCCUGCUGCUGUCUGUGCAGUGGGAAGUGUCACUCAAGUGGUAACUCAACCUUUCUUUGGCAAAAUUAGCCAAAGUAGCAGGGUGCUUUGGUGUGUAGUCACUUUCACAUGUAAGAGCACCUUCUAGUAUUUUGCCCUUCUAGUCUCCUUGGGCAUUGUUGCCUCUGUGGUGGACAUGUGGCCCUUCUUAACAGAAGUGAUGCCAUCAAUUGAAGUGCUUGUAUCAGCUUUCUGAGAAAAGCACAUUACUCUCAUCCCACCCAUGUGUGGGUUUCACCACUUGCAUAAUUACCAAGCUUUCUUCCUCUUCUUUUCCUAAAGAGAGAAAUAACAGUGCAUCAUAAUUUUUUGCCUGCUCACAUUCUCUAUUGAAGUUGGAGAACUUACACAUUAACCCUUGAUUGAAAUCUGCUGUAUCAGAACAGCAGCCUGUUAGCAUUGUAAAUAUGAAUGCUCUUAGGCAUUAAUAAGCUUCAUAAGAAGGGUGUUUUUGAACUUCAUUAAAAUAAUUUUCAGUCAAUUUUCAACAAAUGCCAGAGAUUUUUAAAUAGUCAUAAAUAUGGCAUCUAGGGCCAUAAAAACAUGACCAUCUCUAGCAGCAGGACUCAGCCUUCCUUGAAAUAGUGAUUUGGAGACUGUGAGAGAGAUGUUGUGAUUGCAGUAAAAAUUGAAUUCUGCUUGGGUUUAAGACUGUGUCAAUAGUAAUAUAAUCCACAAUGUCUGUAAAGUGCUGCUUAUUAUGCUACCAUCAGCUGCCACUUUGCAGAAUACCAUUAGAGAGUGAUAUUUACUAUAAGAAAAUAUUCUCAGGAAGCAGAGUAAGCUGCAAAAUAAAAUCAAUGAUAGCUCAAUUUCUUUAGAUGAGUCCAGUUUUGAGAUGCAAUUGUAUCUGUUUUCACUGGAAUUAGCUGUGGACAGGGAGCAUUCACUGUAUAUGGGUUUGCCUUAGGAUAUUGUACAAUAAAAUAUAGUUGGGCUGGAAUGCAUGAGAAUAUUGGUACAAUGCUUAAACAGAUAAUAACAUUGGCAGAUCUUUGGGGCUAUGGUUUAGGUGCUGUAUUUGUUUCUUCUGUGCAGUAAUUUCUGACCACUAGAUGGGACUGUGCAACCUCAUGCAAUUGUAUUAACAACAAUAUUUGAGAGGUUUUUUUACUUUCAAUUAAUACUUUUCUUUCUCCCACUGAAAGAGUGCUUUGUCCCCAACCUUUGAAAAGAACUAAACCAGCAGAACCUCUAGUAAACAAGGAUCUCUGUAAUUCUGGUGAGAGCAAAAAGUGAUUAGAUUCACAGUGAUCUGGAGGCUGUAGCAGUAAAGCACUUUCUACUUUGAUGAACUCAGCAAGUUUUAUUUCCUUUUGAAACAACUUAUGGCAGAUGGAAAACUGAUUUUGGUUGUCUAUUAUGAUUUUAAUGAUUUUUUCCUUCCAAAAUAUUUUUGUUGGUUUGAGGGGUUUUUUUUUCCUUUUUUUUGGUCCCCUUUAUUUUUUUUUUGCUUGUUCUCCAUCUGAGAAUAGUAAUUGCCCCAUGGCUCUUUUCAUUUGAUGUCUAAAGAGGUUGACUUUCAACAGCAUAGAAUAACACACUUAAAUCCCAAGGCUAUUUUAAUCUGGAAUGUUCAGGAAAGGUCUUUACCUUGUAAUAGGGGUUGUUGCUGAAUUUAUUUUGUUUCUUGUUGAAAAUGUAGC